rnacentral:ncRNA from 1 species
CUUGCUUAGUUUUUUACUAUUUGGUUAAUACACAUGUAAAAUAACUUGUAAAAAAUGUUGCUUUAAUGGUGAUUUUUUAUAUUCUCAGUGUAAGGAAUUAGUGAAUAAGUGGAAGCUUGAGUUAGUAAUCUAGUAGAGUUCAGGCUAAAUUUGUGCCAGCAGCCGCGGUUAGACUGAUAGGAUAGGUAAUAAUUUUUAAGUUAGAUGAUUAGGGGGAUUUUUAGAAGAAGAAGUGUUUAUAAGAGUAAAGGGUGGAAUCUAGUGUUUUGAGGUAAGAGAGUUUUGUUUUAAAUUGAGUUGAGGUCAUGAAGGCUGGGGUUUAAAUUAGGAUUAGAUACCCUAUUAUACUUAGCUGAAAUUUUGUUUAAACUUGAGUAGUAAUCAGUUAUGUUCUUGAAACUUAAAGGAUUUGGCGGUAUCUUAGUCUAGUUAGAGGAACCUGUUUUAUAAACGAUAAACCACGAAAUAUCUUACUUCUUUUAGUAAAAUCAGUUUGUAUACCGUCAUUAUUAGAUAAUCUUCAUAAAGAGUUAUUGAGAUAAGUGUUUGUUAGUAUAUUAGAUCAAGGUGCAGCCGAUGGGGAAGAAAGUAAUGGGUUACAAUGUUAUUUAAUAUACACGGAAGUAGGAGUGGAAUGCUCCUUGGAAGGUGGAUUUAAUAGUAAUUGUGUUUUAAUAAGGAGCAAUGAUAUUAGCUCUAUGAUAUGUACACAUCGCCCGUCGCUCUCACACCUAAUGUGAGAUAAGUCGUAACAUAGUAGGUGUGUUGGAAACCGUACCUAGAAUUUUUUAA